UGCAAGUCGAACGAACUCUGGUAUUGAUUGGUGCUUGCAUCAUGAUUUACAUUUGAGUGAGUGGCGAACUGGUGAGUAACACGUGGGAAACCUGCCCAGAAGCGGGGGAUAACACCUGCGAAACAGAUGCUAAUACCGCAUAACAACUUGGACCGCAUGGUCCGAGUUUGAAAGAUGGCUUCGGCUAUCACUUUUGGAUGGUCCCGCGGCGUAUUAGCUAGAUGGUGGGGUAACGGCUCACCAUGGCAAUGAUACGUAGCCGACCUGAGAGGGUAAUCGGCCACAUUGGGACUGAGACACGGCCCAAACUCCUACGGGAGGCAGCAGUAGGGAAUCUUCCACAAUGGACGAAAGUCUGAUGGAGCAACGCCGCGUGAGUGAAGAAGGGUUUCGGCUCGUAAAACUCUGUUGUUAAAGAAGAACAUAUCUGAGAGUAACUGUUCAGGUAUUGACGGUAUUUAACCAGAAAGCCACGGCUAACUACGUGCCAGCAGCCGCGGUAAUACGUAUGUGGCCAGCGUUGUCCCGAUUUGUUGGGCCCCC
rnacentral:rRNA from 1 species